rnacentral:rRNA from 1 species
UACGAAGGGGGCUAGCGUUGCUCGGAAUCACUGGGCGUAAAGGGUGCGUAGGCGGGUCUUUAAGUCAGGGGUGAAAUCCUGGAGCUCAACUCCAGAACUGCCUUUGAUACUGAAGAUCUUGAGUUCGGGAGAGGUGAGUGGAACUGCGAGUGUAGAGGUGAAAUUCGUAGAUAUUCGCAAGAACACCAGUGGCGAAGGCGGCUCACUGGCCCGAUACUGACGCUGAGGCACGAAAGCGUGGGAAGCAAACAGG